AAUCAACGCUGGCGGCGUGCCUCAGACAUGCAAGUCGAACGCGAAAGCUCCCUUCGGGGAGCAAGUAGAGUGGCGCACGGGUGAGUAACACGUAGGUAAUCUACCUUUGGAUGGGGAAUAACAACCGGAAACGGUUGCUAAUACCGCAUAAUGCAGCGGCACCUAAUGGUGACAGUUGUUAAAGCGGGGGAUCGUAAGACCUCGCGUCUGAAGAGGAGCCUGCGGCAGAUUAGCUAGUUGGUAAGGUAACGGCUUACCAAGGCGAUGAUCUGUAGCCGGCCUGAGAGGGCGGUCGGCCACACUGACACUGACAUACGGGUCAGACUCCUACGGGAGGCAGCAGUCGGGAAUUUUGGGCAAUGGGCGAAAGCCUGACCCAGCAACGCCGCGUGAAGGAUGAAAUCCCUCGGGAUGUAAACUUCGCAAGAACGGGAAGAAUAAGUAAGAGUUAAUAUCUCUUACGAUGACGGUACUGUUUGUAAGCUCCGGC
rnacentral:rRNA from 1 species